rnacentral:rRNA from 1 species
GAUGAACGCUGGCGGCGUGCCUAACACAUGCAAGUCGAACGUGAGAGGGUAGCAAUAUCCUUGAAAGUGGCGCACGGGUGAGUAAUACGUAGGUGACCUGCCCUGGAGUGGGGGAUAACAGCUAGAAAUGGCUGCUAAUACCGCAUAUUGCCGAGACAUUGGGAAAUGACUUGGUAAAAACUCUGGUGCUUCAGGAGGGGCCUGCGGCCGAUUAGCUAGUUGGCGGGGUAAGAGCCCACCAAGGCAUUGAUCGGUAGCUGGUCUGAGAGGACGAUCAGCCACACGGGAACUGAGACACGGUCCCGACUCCUACGGGGGGCAGCAGUGAGGAAUAUUGGGCAAUGGGCGGAAGCCUGACCCAGCAACGCCGCGUGGAGGAAGACGGCCUUCGGGUUGUAAACUCCUUUUACGGGGGAAGAGGAAGGACGGUACCCCGAGAAUAAGUCACGGCUAACUACGUGCCAGCAGCCGCGGUAAUACGUAGGUGACAAGCGUUAUCC